UUAUAGAAAACCACAGUCUUUUUCAAGAAGGGAUGCGGUUACAAAACGCAGCCUUCUUACAGUAAGAAGGGCUGCGUUUUUGGGCCAAUCGCAGCCCUAUUGGGCCUUAAAUUCUUUAUUAUUCUAUUUUCCCUGGCCCCUAAACUCCCUCCAAUUCUUUCAUUCCCUCGCUGCUGAAACACCCCUCUCUCUCUCUCUUCUCCCAUUUCAUCUCCUCUUCUUCUUCUCCUCAACUCAGGCCUAAAAUUUCACAAAAAAAACCAACUCAACUCAGCCCUAAUGGCCUAAGCUUCGAACUGACAUCGAUGUUCAAACUCUUUAUCUCUACUCAUUCAUCUUCUUCUUCUUCUUCGAUGUUCGACAUUUAAAAGAGGUCAUUAAAUGUGCAAUUUUUUGGCGACCCUGAUGUAAUUUUGAAGGUUCCUGGUACAACAGAAAUCAAUUACCUGAGUGAUUGGACAAGUAGUGAGAAUUUGCAACUUUUGAAUCUAAUGUGAGUUUUGAAGAUUAUUAAACAUUAUUCCAAAAUGCUCGCACAUAUGGUUUAUGUCAUAACUCUUAAAAUGCUAUAUUCUGCUUCCUUCAACAGUUGCGAUAUAACUCCUUCAAAUUAUAUUUCUAUGAUUAUUACAGACUAUGGCAUGGUGAGUUUUCUACCUUGCAUUUUUCCUGAAAGCCUCGUUGUGUAGGAAUAUCUGUCUGCCUGUAAUGCAACAUGCUCGAUUCUAUAGACUAUCAGCCUUUCAUAAAUAGAGAAGACACUUGUUUAUCAUCUGAAAUGUAGAAUUUUAUUAUUAUCUCAUUGAAUCUAGCUUGCUAUUUUUAUUUGAGACAGUGACAUGCUUCAUGAAGUUAGAAGUUAAAAGAAUUCUCCUCCCGUUGUCCCAUAAAGUUAGUAAAUACAAUAUCGAACACAAUUUUGAUCAGCUGUUCCAAAAUAUGGUUAAUCGGAAUCAUGCAUUUGAAUUAUGUAUGUAAAGUAAUGAAUGCAUGUUUACUUGUGUUUUCAAAGCAGUUGCCUAAUUUGCUGGACAGAGUAAGAUGUGGAUAAUUUAUUUGUUGCAUAGAAGAUUUUUUGAGCUUCGUUUUUUUGUUAUGAAAUUAUCCAUACUUUAUUUGUACUUAAGAUCUCAUAAACCAAAGUAAUAUUGUAGAUGUAUUAUUAGCCCUCAUCUGUGUUGCUUUCUGAACUUGCAUUGAAAUUGUUACCAAGGGAAAGGCCUUAAAUUCUUACCAAGGGCAUAUCGUAAAGGUGACAAGUUUAUCUGUUGGACUACGUUCACAGAAUUGGAAGAACUGUGAUGGAGGCUUUCAUCAGACAAGUUUCUACUCUCAAGAUUGGAGUGUGGUUGCUAGAAUGCAGGUUCUUGUUUACUUGCUUACAAGAUUUUAUUUUGUAUGUUAGGUGGAAUCUAAAAGACAACUAGAAAGUCUCUAGUUGAAGUUCCUGAUUAGAUAGUUUUUUUAGUUAUAUUUGUAUAAAAAUAUGAUUUGCAAUGGAAAAUGAUACUUAUAUA